rnacentral:lncRNA from 1 species
UUACAUGAGUACAUUUACAUGAGUACAUUUACAUAAGUACAUUUACAUGAUUACCUUUACAUGAUUACGUUUACAUAGAUAAUAUAUGACGAGUUAUCAUUACAUUAAUUAUGUAUAGAUAUUGUUAUGAAAUCCUCAUUCUUACCUUUACCUUGUGAUAAAAUCACAUAAUCGACGAGAUAGAUUGGAUUUAAUAUCCUAGUACCAAACGGUACGUUGUGGGAUUGACCAUUCCUAGAAUCUCUGUUAGCUACAGAGGUAAAAGCACAUCCACGGAUGUCAACGGUUGAUACCAUUACAGGUAUACUUUAAGGGAUUAACUAUUCCUAUACCCAGCUGUUAGCGACAGAGGUAAAUAUACAUCUACGGAUGUCUUAAAGUUAACACUGUUAGUUACCCUAGUACCAAAGGGUAAUAUUCAGGUUAGUUGUAUUAUUACCUUUAUUUUGUGACUCAAUCACAUAACCAAUGAGGUGAACUAUAUUUAAGUAUCCUAGUACCAAAGGAUACAAUUUCUUAUAAUAAUAAUAGUAACACAGUCGAGUCUUGGUAGAAGACUACAUAGAGAACAGUUAGGUCAUGGUAGAAGACUACAUGGAGAACAGUCAAGUCUUGGUAGAAGACUACAUUGAGAACAGUUAGGUCUUGGUAGAAGACACCCUUAUAUAAUAAUAGGAAUCAUAGGGAUUUCUAGGGUUUUUCAAACGUUUAUAGUUGUUCUACAAACAUUUUCAUACUUAUACGAGCUUUCUUUCAAAACAAUGUCAUGUCUUUAAUUACAAGUUCUACAAAUUAAGACACAUUAAUACUUAUGAUCUCACCAGCUUCAAAGCUGAUACUCACUUUCAAAAUUACUUGUAUCCUCAGGUCAUCUUAGACAGGUACCGAUGCAAGGAGAAAGGAAGAUGGAGCUUGUUCAAGACUUAUCUUUCAUUUUGAUUUAUGCUUUAGUAUUUAUCAAAAUUUGACAGAACACAUUUGUAUAAUAAUUAUGUUAUUAAUGCAAUGGAUGAUGUUGUUGCUUGUUUACUACUUUACAUUGUUGUGAUAUUAUACAUGACGUCCUCCGCCCCAGAACGUUUCCGCCGUUCUUGGUUUUGGGGUGUGACAGAUUGGUAUCAGAGCAUUGUUUAUAGUGAAUUAAGUAUAUCAACCCAUAAAAGAUAUACUAACUAUAAAUACAUAAGGGAUUAAAAAUACUCUGACCAAGAGUUUAUACUUUAAAUAGUAAAAUAUUUAAGUAAGUAUACGUGCUGCAUUCAUACGAAAAUCAGUGUCACUAGGACAGUACAAAAGAAUUACGAUUGUUGGGCAACACAAGUGGGCUUAGAGACAUAUGGUCAGAACUGGGAAGAUAUAGCCUGAUCACCUAUAUUAUCCGAGGGUUGACUAGCAUGUGCCUAAGUUUAAUUGUGUGGUUGCAACAAUGCUAAAAUCUUACAAACCCUACCACAAUGAGAACAAUAGAACAUAACAUUAAAAUUUAAAAUACUAUAGGAGUAUUUGGUGUUACUAUAAGUACUUUAUACUUGAGAAUUAAAACGGGAUCUUCAUUACUAAGUUGAUAGUUGCUAAGUGGAUACACUGAGGCUAUAUGUAAUUAGGAUGUUAUAGACUUAGAAUCUAUGAAAAUUUUGCCUUACCCCUAUUCUGUGUGAAUUUGGAACUAAGGUCACUUAUUCGAAGGUCUAUCCUAUUUAGAUUACGCAUAGCUGGUAUGCACUUCACAAAUAGCGAUAUAACUAAUGAAGGUUUUCUAAAUAAUUAUUUAGCUAGUUCAUCUAAUAAUUAUUCUCCUACCCUAAAUUCUCGCAUAGAAAUCAUAGCUGGACUCCAUCCCCUCAGCAACCAGUAUCUUCCGAAUGGAGUCAUAGCUGGUUGGUUUGGAGAAGAACCAGAGAAUGAUCAUUCUUUUCCUCGCGAAUGAUCACCAUGAUGAAGACCUUUCGUAUGAUGUUAACUCCGAACCAGAGGUUGAGAACCUACCCCGAGCAGCUCCCGUUCCAAUUCCUAACCCUCGUCCGGCUUUUCAUGGGCCAACCCCUGAGAGAGUGGAAUGCUUGGAAACAUGGAGCCAAGGACAAGAUCAGCCCAUGCCAUUUAAUGGCGACCGAAGUUUUUAUGACUUGAGCAAUGGGGGCUCAGCAGAUAGAGUCUUACCAAUCUUGGUCCGCAGAGUGGCCCGAAAUGAGAUUCAAGGCAGGACAGCCCUACAUCAGAUUACCGAAGUUGUCGCCAAUGCGAGAAUGCAUACCCUCCACACCGUUCGUCUAGAAGAUGCUCACGAGAGAUCAGAGAGAAACCAUGAAACCCUGCUACAAGCCCCGAUUGAACCCCGAGCUGAAGUUAUAGAGCUCCGAGUACACCAGAGGGUGUACGAAAGACACCUACUUGUUAUGGAUCGUCAACUGGUUGAACUGAGAGUUCACCAGGAGGAUGACCGUCGCCGGUAAUAGACGUGUUACUUUAUAUUCCUUAUAAAAAGGAAUCGUGUUUUCUAUCUAUGCCCGAUGUGGCAUUUUCUAUGAAAUUAUCUUGUACCGUAAGUACUUUAGUUAGGUCUUUAUGCUGUCAAGAACUAUCUCCUCUGGAUAUGAUGUAAGACCUUUACAAGGUCAUUUUCCCGAAUCUUUACAUCAUGAAUAUCAAAGAUAUUGACAGCCGACUAAUUUUUGUGUCAUUCUUCAUUCAAGUNGUCUAUCUGAAUCAUGCUUUAGUCAAGUCAUUGGACUAUAGUGAUUUAUCUCCGGAGACAUUUCCAAGUCUCUUUCAGUGGUUGGAUCUUGUUAUUCACCAACCCAUGAUACCUCGGCUUGCACAACAAACGUUUUGAGACCAUUCUACGAACUUACUUCUACUCAUUACUAGGACUGCAUCAUAGGGAUGUAGGUCAAACCUUCGCGAACAUACUUCCAUUCCGUACUAGGACUGCAUCAUAGGGAUGUAGGUCAAACUUUCGAGAACAUAGUCGUACUCUUUACAUGAACAAUCUAAGUACAUCAGGGUCAACCAGUAUUGCUCACAAAUUCCUUAUCUUUCGUGUUACAGAAUCAUGUCGUCAUCCAGAAACGAUCAGCCGAGCAUCGAAAUCCCUAUCCUCCAUAUCGACGCCGCUACAUUACAAGCUGUAGUAGCAGCUGCUGUGACAACUUUCCUUACACACAUCAACUCAGGCAACACCAAUAAGACUGAAAAAGGAGUCGAGAGUUUAGAUGGUAGUACCAAACCAGGAAACCAACAAAUAGUAACAGUCACUGACUCACAAAGCCGAAAGACAGAGAACAAGAAACGAAAGCGUCGAGCCCAGAAAGAACGCAAGAAAUCCCAAAAACUUGCUAUGCAACAGCAACAAGUGGAAACCCCUGCCAUCCCAGUACCGAGCAGGCCAUACGAGGGAAAACUCCCGAAGUGUGAUAGGUGUAGUUUCCAUCAUCAUGGGGCUUGCCAUGAGAUGCAGUGUUGCAAUUGCCUAAAAAUAGGGUACCAUGCUCGUGCCUGUGGAGCACCGGCACGACCCAUCACUCAAGUCCCUUUCAUCGGGACUAACCCUGCACACGAGAGUAGUUAUAACGCCGAAUGCUUUAGGAAGCAAUUUUCAAAGUGGAGUAAUGAGGAAGGCACUCGUGUCCACAUAACAUUGGCUAAACACCACAAUCCCAUCACCAAAGCUAGUACUAGCCAGUCAUGCCACCAAUGCGGGGAGAUAGCGCACUUCACGGAGGAUUUCCCUAUAGCAAAGAACUCAGGUGCUGAUGGGAAGAUUCUCAGGAUCACAGCUGCAGGAGAGCCUGCUCCGGAACCACGUUAAAUGUAACUUAGGCGUGUUCUUGUAACAGACUUAUAAACUAUCCAAGACUAGUGCAACUAGAGUCUUACCUUUUGCGAGAUCUUGUCUGUAUAGGGAUUCUCGUGCUGCGUAUACUUGUCUUUUGUAGUAUAUCUUAUUCGCAGGAAUAGUCUAGUGGUAAAUCUAAAGUACUGUAACUCUGUUCACGGUUGCACGGUUGUGUUUUGUCUGUAAACGUCUUAUGUUCAAAUCUAAUGUCUUUAAGUUUCAGUAUGAUUUCGACAUUAUCAUAUGAAUCGAUUUAAUUUGAUCGUCAUGAAAACAGCUUCAUGCGUAUGCCUCCUUUUCAGUAAACGCCUUUUCCAGUGAAACCGUCACAUCAGAACACCGAAGUACUCAUGCCAGGAGUACCUCUUAGUUAUUUUCUUUCCGAAGAAAUCCGUGAAGUACCACUCGUGCAGUACGUCAAGUUUAAACCAAGGAUUCAUGCGAUUGAUCUAUCAUUAAGGAAGGUAUACAUAAGAGUGAUAUAUAAUCAAGCUUCUACAGGUUUAGAAUUGAUGAUUCCACUUUAACUUUGUUUUCCCGGAUGGGAUAUGAACUUAAAGAAGAAUCAGUUAUUCGACUACCUUUUCAACCUUAAUUAUGUAUGACUCGUAUACACGAAAUGGUGAUUGUGAACCAAGUAUGAAUUCUAAUAUGAACUUCAGGACGGAGAACUGAUUAAGCCUACGAGUAAUCGCAUCGUCAUGCGAACAAACUUAGAACCCAGUACGACUCCCGUAAACAGAUCACCCUAUAGUUUAAACACCCACGGAGAUACAAGAACAAUCCGGACAACUUAGCGAAAUACACAGAAAUAGAAUUAGAAGACUAGGUUUCUCACCCUAGAGAACCCCGGUCAUAUUCUUACAGAGAUCAACGGAUCGCAUUGUAGGUACCUCGGUUAUCGAGGACUCCGUCGAGAUUUUUCAUUAGAAAUCGUUAUCUCUGCCUCGCGUAGACGAAAUGGUUGAGCAAAUGCAAGGAAAGAAACUACUUCCAGGAAUGGAUCCGAGAUCCGAAUAUUUCCAGUUCGAGUGUUAAGGAAAGAUGUCUGGAAGACUAUCUCCUAAAAUCGAUGCGGACACUUCGAGUCCGUAGUGAUACCCUUCGGAUAGGAGCAAUACGCCCAUAGCUUUCAUGAGCUAAACGAGUAGGGUACAUCUUUUUUACUUGGAUCAGUUUGUCAUUUCUCCAUGUAAUGACUUACUUAUCUACCCUUGUAGUAAGAAGGAACCCAUGGGAACAUUUCCUUCAGAGGAACUUUUAGCGAUGUUCUCAAAGCACGAGUUUUGAAAUUGAAGAGUCAAAUUUCUAAGACACACUGUUAGUAAUGUGAGAAAUUUUGAGUACUCUUUCAAUUUGUCAAAGCCGUUGAGCAUUUAUCGACACCAGAGACGCCGAAAGUCUUUCACCAAAUUCUAGGUCUUACCGACCUACCGCCUUAGUUCAUUCAGAACUCCUCGCAAGCUAUAGAAACUCGUACGACUUUGACCCAGCAAGGGGUGGCCUUUGACUGGGAAGUUACGCAAGAAAAGGAACCUUUGAGAUUCCAAGUGAGUGACCAAGUUCUUUAGGAUAACUCACUCUGGGAAUGGCUUAAUACGCUUCGUAAAGCGUGGAAAGCUAAAUCCAAGUUAGACAGGACCUCCGAGAUUCUUAUCAGAAUCGGUCCUGUGCCUCACACAAACUAGACCUACUCCGCGAACUCAGUAACGUACUUUCUACUCUUCGCGUCUCGAUCGUGAAACCAUACCUUUCCGUUAGGACUCUUGUAAGUCCACUCGUCGAGAUCCUCGCCUUCGUAUUAGAACCGUAGUGACCCUCGACCGAGAGGUCAAGCGGACGAAGCAACGCCGUCGCCAGUUAGUGAAGGUUCGUUGGAAUGCCAACCGAGAACCCGAUUUCACUUAGGUGCGCUAGAACCAAUCGAUUAGGAAGUUUCCUCCUCACGACUCGAUCAUUCGUACAUACUUCCUUGCCUAAAUUCUAAUUUCGGGACGAAAUUCCCUUCAACAGGGGGAUUUUGUGACAACCCGAAAUUUCCAUUCUGAACAAACCAUUUGAAGCCAAUAGAAGUAGAACAGUUACAGUGAAAACUCAGAUUUCGAGUAUAAGUUUGGCAGUUUUCAGGAUUUUACACUUAAGGAGAUAUUAGGAGAGUGGAUGCACUAGGGUUUUGUGCAACACUGUUAUUCCAAUACUCUAGGACAUUAGAGUUCGUUCCAGGAAUAAAAAUAUUUUCUGCCAAAAAUAUCUCAGGACUAUAAAUAGAAUUCUGAACCAAAUUGGUUCAUUUGUUGAAUUCCAUUUAGAGAAAAGUCCAAAUUCUCUCUCACGGAUCUUCGGGUUUUUAUCCCAAAUUGUGAGUAACUCUUUCUAGUAGUGUUAGAAAGCUUUAAAUGUGUUCAUAACAUAGAUUACAUAGCUAAAUCAUCCGAUUUAGGAGUUUACUCCCCAAGGUGUUCUUGGGCGGUAAACUCCCGAAACCAAGCCUAGAUUGUCCCCCGUGAUUAGUAACUACCUUGGACUUGUAUAGGAGUGUGUUAGGGACAUGAAAUCAACCAAGAACCACCCAAGUUUAGGAGUUCACGGCCCAAGAGUAGCUUAGGCCGUAAACUCCCUUGUAACAUGCUCAAAUGGUGCUUUUAAGGCACCUAAGGCUUAGACUUUAUUUUAGACAAGUACCCUAAAGUGUUUAAAGCCUAGAAAACAUAAGAAAUCACUAGUAUUGAGGAGUUUACGGCCAAGACAAGUUCUUGGGCCGUAAACACCUAUAAAGGGGUCAAAUGACACCCUAACUCCUUCCUUAAGCCAAGAGACCAAUUUGGGCAUGUACCUAAAUGAGUUUUGGACUAGCUAACACACUUAGAACACCAAGAGUAAGGGAGUUUACGGCCCAAAAGGUUCUAGGGCCGUGAACUCCAUAAAAUGGUGCCAAAUGGUGCCAUAAACUCUUCUAAAGCCAAGUACAAAAGCCUAGUUUAGUUCCUAGUUAAGUUAGAGACUUGAAAACACCAUAAACACCCUCCCAAGGGAGUUUACGGCCGUAAACUCCAAGGGAAUAUGGUCCCUGGGCCGUAAACUCCUUAAAGGAGUUAAUAUGACACCCAAACACUUGAUUUAGCCUUGAAACAAUUCACCACAUGAGUUGUAUAAUUGUUAGACUUCAUUUAGGGGCUUUGUUGAGAGUUUACAGCCAGGAGUUUACUCCCCUGGGCCGUAAACUCCAAGACAUAUGGUCAUUUGACCUUAAACUUCCAUUAGGGGCAUUGCACUCCUUUGUUGCAACCCAUUAGCCUCCUAGCACUUGACCAAAAGUGUUUUCCUCACGUUUAUAUGUUUAUACUUGUAUAAUUAGUGUUUUAAUCACUAAUUAUUUAUAUACAUAUGUUUUCAUAUGUAAUUAGGAUCAUUGUGUGUGUCUAAGUCUUCACUUGACACCAAGCACUUGUCCGAUCCUUCCGUACGAUAACAUGUCACACCCCGAAAACCAAAGGCGGAAACAUUUCCGGGGUUGACUCCAAGUUGAGUAUCAAAUCCAAUGCACAUAGUAAGUAAAGUAAACAACCAUCACAUUACAUAUCAAAGUUUACAUUUGUUCAAAAGUAAAGUUGUACAUUCAUAAUACAUAGUAUAUAUGAAAAAAAUAGAGACGAGUCUUCUGUACGCUUUGUCUUCUCCAAAAGGAUCGCUAGGUACCUGUCUAAUGUUGACCUGAGAAUACCAGCAGUUUGAAAAUCAGCAUAAAGCUGGUGAGUUCAUAAGAUGUUUGUUUUGUGAAAAUGUACAAGUUUCCUUUGGUUUACCGAAAAGUUGUUAUCCAAGAAAAUCCCAUAUUUUCUUAAAAGAGAAGGUUGGUUGAUUUUUAGGUUACACGGUUCUGGUUAUGUUUAACUAUGAUCCCAGAAAAGUCCCAUACUUUCCUGAUUGUAUAUUACUAAUUGUGAAAGAUAUAUAUAUAGUUAUCUAGUUUAUUACUCCUUUCUAGUUAUAUAACCUUUUCCCAGGAAAGUCCCAUACUUUCCUAAAAGAAAUAGUAGUUAUUGGAUUUUUAUAUACUAAUUGAUUUCCAUUCGUACUUAUUGUAUUAACUAGGUAUUCUGAUAUCCUAAUGGUGUUAUCUUGAAGUAUACUUAGAUACACAUCUUCGUAUUCGUGUUCUUAUUCUUAACAUAUUCUUAUACUUAUUCGUGUUCGUAUUCGUAUUCGUAGUCGUAUUCAUUUCCCUAUUCCUACUCCUAUUACUAUUCGUAUUCGUAUUCGUAUUCGUAGUCGUAUUCGUAUUCGUAUUCAUAGUCGUAUUCGUAUUCGUUCUGUUCCUAUUUAUAGUUUCGUUAUUCGUUCUGUUCCUAGUUAUAGUUUCGUUAUACUCUCUGUUCCUAGUUAUAGUUUCGUUAUUCGUUCUAUUUGAUGUUUAGUAUGAAUUAUUCGUAGAUUAUGAAACAUAAUUUAGAUUGCAACAUUUUAUCAAAACUCUAUGAUUAAUUUGAAAGCUAACUUCGUAAAUCGAACUAUUUCAUAAACACAAUCAUUGAUAUUAGAACAUACAGAAUGAAGUCAAUUGAACAGAAAAUGAUAAAUUGGAGUACAAGAUUUCCUUGUACUAUUGCUUGUAUUCCCCCUGAAAACAGUGAAAACAGUUGAAAAGAGUAGGGGUAUGAACUCACCGAACGAGAUUUGGAUGCUAAGUGUUGGUCCGGGGCUUGCAAACGCACGAGGUUCCUAAGUAUAAUGUAAAGAUACACAUUUGUAUCUAAUUAGGACUUAGAUUGAUUAUUUGAUAGGGACAAUUACUUCUAGUCGCGAAAACACCUCGAUACAAGUGUUUGGAGGGACCCGGGUGGCGUUUAAGGACGUGUAAUAGCACUAGGGAUUUGGGACUUGAGUUUACUCCCCAUGAAUAAACUUAUACAAGAGUUUUUGGUCUAAAACACCCAUUCCCCAUGAGUUUACGGCCGGAAACUCAUGGUGGGGUAGUUUAUGGUGCAAAAUGGCUUCAAACACUUAGGGAAUAAUUUCUAGGUUUGGUUUAAGGGCUUGGAAUAAUUUUUAAACACCUAAUAGACACAUUUAAGGGAGUUUACGGCCUAGCAUAGGACUCAUGGCCGUAAAAUCCUAUAAAUCCAUGAAAAAUUGUGUUUUUGGAUUCCAAACAAAUCACAUGUGAUUGCUAAAAUUGUUCCAAGGCCUUACAUAAAUUUUUAGGCAUAAAAUGACAUGUUUUUAGGAGUUUACGGCCAUGGAGCACCUUCUAUGGCCGUAACCUCUCAAAUGAAGAGUUUUGAUGUGUUUAAGGUCCUUAAACUAUUUUUGGUUGGUCCUAUGAUUUAUUCCAAGGCUUUUGGCGGUGUUGGAUGGCUUUCUAACACCUUGAAAUUGAUUUUACACCAUGUUUAAGGAGUUUACGGCCCAAGCACAUGCCUUGGUCAUAAACUCACAUAAGUCCCCCAAAAUUAUGUUUAAAGUGUUCCAAGGCUAAAGCAAUUAUUCUAGAAGUCAUAUCCAUGUCUUGUUGAGGUUUUAGAAGGGUUUAAGGGCUUAAAAACCCUUUAAUUAUGAGUUUACGGCCUAAACACUAUCCUUGGCUGUAAACUCACAUACAAGUCCCCAAAUUAUAGAUUAAGGCAUUCUAAGUCCAUUCCAUAAAGUCAUUAAGCCAUAUCUAAGUCCCAAAAUUGUUUAGGAGGGGUUUAAAGGCAUAAAAACCCACUUAUUAUGAGUUUACGGCCUAAGCUCCUUCCAGGGCCGUAAACUCAUAUACAAGGUCUUAAAUCAUGAUUUAGUCUCGAAUUUGAAGGUCAAAGAGGCUAUACAAUGAGUUUAGGAAGGUACCUUAAAGAUUUGGAGCCUAAAGUUGAUGAUUUGGACCCUUAAACUUGGAUUUUAGGAGAGAGGUUAGAGAGAGAGUAGAGAGAGGAAGAAAAAGCUUCAAAUGAAUGUUUAAACACGUUUAAAUAGUUCCUAAGUUCGGGACACGGUGGAAUUCUACCCGAUACCGACGUUAAACGGGGCUUUUGGUCGUACCCGAUUAAGUUGCCGUUACUCGAUAUGGUUGAUUUUAGAAAUAUUCCGUUCACUAAUACGAGGUGUUAGAAUGAGUUCUAAGGGUAUUAGGACACUCAUUAAGUCAUAAAAUAAAAUCCACAUUAAUGACUUAAUUAAUUGACGGAAAAUCGGAAACGAAAUCGGAAACAGCGAUUGGACGAUCGAAACGAGUCGUGAAAAGGGGUACAAGCAAUGAAACGAAAUUUCGGGUUGUUACAAUUUUCAAGACGAUUAAGACUCCCACUGACUCCUUGACAUAUAUGAUUCUCUUUUCAGGAAACUCUCCCAGACAAAACAAAAAAUUCAAGAGUUAGUGUAGUUCUUAUCAAGACAAAACACUUCACAUAAUUGGUCCUAGUUGGUCUCUGUCUUAUCCAAGACAUCACAACUCACCAAUUUCAAAUGUGCAAGAAUAAGAAAACUUUUCCAAUUUCCACAUUUGUUGAGUGUUAUAAACCUACUAAAGAUAUGUCACUUAAUUCAAAAUCUUGGAGCAUAACUCCAAGACUUGAUAUUGGAACGAAGUAUGAUUGACUUCUUGAUUUUAACCAUUUCCACAAUUCUUGAUUCCUCUUCUUAGACAUACAAAUGUACUAAGACUCACUUAGAGGAUCAAUUGAGAUAUGGAUCUUAAUCAUUAAGACUUAUCAUAAAACUCAAUAAAAGGUACUCUCCCUUCCUCUUAGGAAGGAUAAACUUUUAUCUUUCUACCUACUUGAUUCCUUUUAUUCGUUCUGCCAUUCAUUGAAACUCUUUCAAUUAACUUAAAAUUACACUUAAUCUUAUAAGUAUAAUCAUAUUUACUAAACUUUAGUAAAUCAUGAUGAAUAUCUUUAUUACUCUUGUGGUGGUCUUGAUCAACGUACAAUCUUGUGUACUCGAUCUCCUAGUCCUUCACUUGACACUCUGUCAAAGAAUUAAUCUAAUUUCCAAAUAUGAAAUUUCUCAUUCAUCAUGCAACCAAGUUGUAUGAUUCGAAGUUUCUAUCCAAUUGAAACUUGGACGAUGAGAAACUCUCCCUAUUUGGUAAAUUCUCGACAUUUCCACAAAUAACAUAAUUAAGAAUCAAAUCCAUUAUUGCUAAUAAUAGAAACUUUCAAACAUCAAUUUUUCAUACACGCCAUUACAAGGAUAAAUAAAUAAGAUAAAAUCAAAAUUCAUUUUAUUGCGGAAAAAAUUUGUCCUUACAAUGCAAUUCAAUUGAAAAACUAUGUUAUUACAUAUUUCUUAGCAAUCUAUUCUAACUCNUACAUGAUUACGUUUACAUAGAUAAUAUAUGACGAGUUAUCAUUACAUUUUAUAUGUAUAGAUAUUGUUACGAAAUCCUCAUUCUUACCUUUACCUUGUAACACAAUCACAUAAUCGACGAGAUAGAUUGGAUUUAAUAUCCUAGUACCAAAGGAUACGGUGCGGGAUUGACCAUUCCUAGAAUCUUUGUUAGCUACAAAGGUAAAAGCACAUCCACGGAUGUCAACGGUUGAUACCAUUACAGGUAUACUUUAAGGGAUUAACUAUUCCGAUACCCAGCUGUUAGCGACAGAGGUAAAUAUACAUCUACGGAUGUCUUAAAGUUAACACUGUUAGUUACCCUAGUACCAAAGGGUAAUAUUUAGGUUAGUUGUAUUAUUACCUUUAUUUUGUGACUCAAUUACAUAACCAAUGAGGUGAACUAUAUUUAAGUAUCCUAGCACCAAAGGAUACAAUUUCUUAUAAUAAUAAUAGUAACACAGUCGAGUCUUGGUAGAAGACUACAUUGAGAACAGUUAGGUCUUGGUAGAAGACUACAUGGAGAACAGUCAAGUCUUGGUAGAAGAAUACAUUGAGAACAGUUAGGUCUUGGUAGAAGACACCCUUAUAUAAUAAUCGGAAUCAUAGGGAUUUCUAGGGUUUUUCAAACGUUUAUAGUUGUUUUACAAACAUUUUCAUACUUAUACGAGCUUUCGUUCAAAACAGUGUCAAGUCUUUAAUUACAAGUUCUACAAAUUAAGACACAUUAAUACUUAUGAUCUCACCAGCUUCAAAGCUGAUACUCGCUUUCAAAAUUACUUGUAUCCUCAGGUCAUCUUAGACAGGUACCGAUGCAAGGAGAAAGGAAGAUGGAGCUUGUUCAAGACUUAUCUUUCAUUUUGAUUUAUGCUUUAGUAUUUAUCAAAAUUUGUCCGAACACAUUUGUAUAAUAAUUAUGUUAUUAAUGCAAUGGAUGAUGUUGUUGCUUGUUUACUACUUUACAUUGUUGUGAUAUUAUACAUGACGUCCUCCGCCCCAGAACGUUUCCGCCGUUCUUGGUUUUGGGGUGUGACAUACACUUAGCCACUCGAGGCUAAAGCUCUACUUAACCUUCCGGUCAAUGUGUCUCAGUGGGACCUUCCGGUCCCACACUCCGGUAGACCUUCCAGCCCUACCAUGAUUUGCCUUCUGACCCUAACUUUGGUUUCCUUCCGACCAUAACUCUGAUUGCCUUCCGGCCAUAACUCUGUCGACCUUCCGGUCCCAAGUCAUACAUCAUAUACAUAUCACAUAAGUCACAAAGCUCAUACCAAUAUAUAAGACCUUCCGGUCACAUAUCACAUAAGUCACAUAGCUCAUACAAAUAUAUAAGACCUUUCGGUCACAUAUCACAUAAGUCACAUAGCUCAUACAAAUAUAUAAGACCUUCCGGUCACUUAUCACAUAAAGUCUCAUAACUCAUUCAUACACAUAAGACCUUCCGGUCACACCUAGUUACCAUUCCAGGUAAGGUAUAGUGAAAAGACCCACCUGACACUGCUGAAGUCCUGCAGACUCAAUCCCACACUGCUAAAGUCCUACAGACUCAAUCCCAUACUACUGAAGUCCUACAGACUCAACCCCAGCUGCUGGAUGACAAAUUCCCGAUCUGUCAAUAUCAAAACAUCACCCAAUUAAUAAUUGGGUCCCAUUACAUAACCAUAAAUACAUACUUUGGAUAAUUACUAAAUUACCCCGGGCUUGGCUUUAUUUAAGCCCAAGGCCCAAUCCAUAGGCCCAAAGUCAAUUAGGAAUCAAAUCCCAACAUAUGGCCCAAUUUUCCAAAUUGGGCCUAGGCCUAUACAUGGUCUUAUUCUAAGGCCCAACCUCAUAGAAUCAUUACGGCCCAAACUAUGCCCCAUCUAUAACCCAAUUUUCCAAAUUGGGCCCAACUCCUCAUAUGGGCCUUACCCUAAAGCCCAUUAAUUAUUCUAGUCCAAUUGCCUGACUUUGGGUGGCCCAAUAAUAAUCCAAUCAUCAAGGCCCAAUAAUACACCCAAGUGAAAUUAGGGUUUUCACAUAAAAUGAUGAUUAGGGUUAAGUCUUCUCACUUAACCCAUUAAGCACUUAAUCCAUUAAGUCCACUAUUACUUAAAUUAAUUUCUUGCCAAUGAUUAUUAAUUAAUAUCUCCAGUUAUUAAAUAAUUCAUGUGUGUCCCGAUUAAUUCUCCAAAUAAGGGUUUCAAACCAAAAUACUAGCCCAUUAGGGUUUUAUUGGGUCCAUUAGAGUCCAUUAAGCUUCAUUGGGCCCAUUAGGGCUCACAAGGCCCAUUAGGGUUUCAAGCAUCCCUAAUCGAGUCAACUCACAAGACAAGCACACCGCCACCCGACACGGCGGCCGGUGGCGGCAAGAGGCGGCAGCCACCACCUCACGGUGGUGGUUCGAUUUAUCCUUUCAUUAUUCCAGUUUGGUUACAAAGAUACAACACGAUAAUCCAAUAAACGCACACACACACAAUAACACCUACACACACACCCAGCCACCCCUGCGGCGGCAAGCAACGGUUGGAGGUGGUGGUGAUGGCCUUUCCAUGAAUUCCGGUUACACAACAUACACACACACUUAACACAAUGUAGCAACAACACACAUACACACAAACACCUAAAUACAUAGCACAACUCGCACACAGCCACCUUCCACGGUGGCUAGUGGCGACGGAAAGUAAAACAACACGCGGAAGUGACGAAGAUGAGUGGAACAGUCGCUGGGGCGGCAGUGGACGAGGCUAAAAUGCACGGUUGGGUGACGGCAGCACGAAGAGGAGCAAGAAGAGGAUCAUAUGCGUCAUCUCAGAUGGAAGAAGUUCAGACACCGCCAUGAAUUUCCGACUACACACGCAUAUGGCGUACCUUGCCUUUGUUGAUGGCAGUACCGGCGGUCACAACCAACAACAAGUGACAUCGGUGUGUAACGGACGGCAGGAGCCGCGAUAGCAGCCUCUUGGUGGCUGUUGCAAGUUACCGACGAACAAAAGAAGAAGGAGAAAGAAUGAUGACGGCAGCAACUCGGUCAAACCACCGUAUGGCGGUAGUGUCAGCAACGAGGCUCGAUCAACACCCUCGAUUGGUCCUCCCCGAAAUGAAAACGGUCUUGGCGGCAUCCUCCGGCGACCCUAAGGUCCGAUGAUUCUUCAGAUGGCGGCAGUUAGAGAAGGAGGGUGGAAAGGGAGUGGGGUGGCGGCUGGAGGAUCAUACACGAUGGCUAGAGAGAAU